rfam:Schistosoma margrebowiei strain Zambia genome assembly, scaffold: SMRZ_contig0004414
AGCUUUCCAAAUCCGUGCUGAGAUUUCGUCCGAUACCAACCCAUUAGGGCUGAUCAGACUU